rnacentral:lncRNA from 1 species
GUACAUAUAAGAUAUAGACAGGAGAAGGAAAGUAACCUGAGAGGCAGAGGCACUAGUCAGAUGGAAUAGUUAUGAUAUGAUGCAUGGGAAAUGUUCAGAGAAGAAUAAGAAAUUGGAGAGGGAAGGGGGAAGGAGGGAUUACAUAGCAGUGGAGCUCAGGGAAGGCUUCAUAUUUGUGUCUUGGUAUGGCAGAUUAAAAAAAAAACAUUUGGAGCAGUGAGGUGGUUCAAUGGAUAGAGAGCCACACCUGGAGUCAGGAAGACCUGGAUUCAAAUCUGACCUCAGAUACUUUCUAGCUGUGUGACCCUGGAUGAACAGUUGAGACGGCUCUCAAGAAAGAAUGCUGAAAGUCAUCCUACACCUGAAAUUAUGAAUUCCUCUGUUCCUGACACUCACAGACUUCUCCCCAGCAACUAAUUGUCAUGUCACAAACGGAUAAGGAAUAAGACUUGAGGCAGAAACAGCAGGAGCAGAUGAACUGUGAAACCACUGAGAUCCAGUUUCCAUGCAAAUAGCCUAAGUCACAAAAAUAAAAUGAAGAAAAUAUCUUAAAUGAAAAUGAAAUCAUCCAGGAAUAAUGUUUUUUUUCCUUCAGAUUCAGCUAUUUUUUUACAUAGUGAUGUUUAAAAAGUAUUCAAAUAGCCACAAUUAUAAUAGUAGCUAAGGAGAGCUUAAACUAGAAUAAUAGAAUCCUAAAGCUAAAAGGAACUUUGGGAGGUCACCUUGCCCAGUCCCUAGUUUUCAGACAGAACUGAGCAGUGACCAUGCUAUUUUGAAGGACCUCCAGGGAAGGUGAUUGUAUAACCCCUCUCAAUCACAAACCUCCCAUUUCACAGUCCCCACCAUCAGCAAGUCCCUUUAUCUAUCAGUCUUAUAUUCCUCUAGGUGAAUUUUAAGUCCAUCGUUUUUUAUUCAGUUCUCAGUGGACACCCAGCUGUUCCUUUCUGAAUACUGUGUCUCCAAAAGAUGGUAAUUUGUCUAUCUGUGAUAUGCAGAGGUCAGAUUGCUCCUCUGUCAAUAGUUGUUCCUGCAGUGACUUUGGGGAAGGUGAUAAAGGAGCCAAGUCGGGGAAGAUGAGGCCAUUUCUCCUGGAGUCAAAUGAAAAUGAGGAACAACAGAUUGGCACCAGAGACAAUGGAAUUUUGCUAGCUGAAUUUCAACAAAAGCCUUUGUAUAAUUGGUGGGUGCAAUGCUAUUGUGAGGCUCAAAUGAAAUAAUGGAUGUAAAGCUCUAGCUCUCUGAAUCUGUUAUCCUGUAAUCAGGCCAGGCAUAGGACAGAGAAAUGCAUUCUCACCCAAGAUUUUGCUAUAGCACUAGAAGAAAUCCAACACAGAGUCCAGGUGGAAGAGGAAUUCCCUGUGGAUGGUAAAGUCUCCCAGAUACAUUUGGUAGGAAUUACUAGUGGCAUCAGUCCCUGAAACUUUGCAGAGCUCCCAAGAAGAGAUCUUAAUUCCUCAAAGGAGUUUGACUUGACCAUCCACAAAGGAAAGACCAAGUGAAUGAAGAAUGUUGAUUAGCUAGAAAUGCAUUUGUAGUGACAACCUAUAGAGUUGGUCCAUCAGAACAUGUCAGGGACAGAUAUUGAGGUAUAACCAGAUGGAACCAGAUUUAAAUCAGCAAAAAAAAAAAGUGAGUUAAAUGGCCUGUGUAAAAUUGCAAAGCUCCUUCAGUGGUCCCAAAUUUCCCAAUAAAGCAGAGGCCUUUUGUGAAAUACCA